AUUGAACGCUGGCGGCAUGCCUUACACAUGCAAGUCGAACGGCAGCACGGGUGCUUGCACCUGGUGGCGAGUGGCGAACGGGUGAGUAAUACAUCGGAACGUACCUUAUCGUGGGGGAUAACGCAGCGAAAGCUGUGCUAAUACCGCAUAAGCCCUGAGGGGGAGAGCGGGGGAUCGAAAGACCUCGCGCGAUUAGAGCGGCCGAUGCCUGAUUAGCUUGUUGGUGGGGUAAAAGCCCACCAAGGGGACGAUCAGUAGCUGGUCUGAGAGGACGAUCAGCCACACUGGGACUGAGACACGGCCCAGACUCCUACGGGAGGCAGCAGUGGGGAAUUUUGGACAAUGGGGGCAACCCUGAUCCAGCAAUGCCGCGUGAGUGAAGAAGGCCUUCGGGUUGUAAAGCUCUUUUGUCAGGGAAGAAACACCGGCUCUAACACAGUCCGGGAAUGACGGUACCUGAAGAAUAAGCACCGGCUAACUACGUGCCAGCCGCCGCAGUAA
rnacentral:rRNA from 1 species